rnacentral:misc_RNA from 1 species
CCGAGUUCACAACUCCCAAACCCCUGUGAACAUACCUAUACGUUGCCUCGGCGGAUCAGCCCGCGCCCGUAAAAAGGGACGGCCCGCCCGAGGACCCCUAAACUCUGUUUUUAGUGGAACUUCUGAGUAAAACAAACAAAUAAAUCA